UUCAAAUAGAGAUGGUACAAUAUGUAAAACAAGAGGACAAAUAAAAAGGGAUAUGGUGUAGUAUUUCUGAUGCUGGUGAUUAUAAAGAAGAGAAAGGAAAUGCACUUACAAUCUUCUAGAGCUUGAAAUCAGCUCCGGAUAUAUGCGCUUGGAUGGUACAAUCCCCGUCUGUGGAUAUGCUGAGCUUGGCCUCGGUCUUGAUCUAUUGUCAGCAGCGAGUGGUGGUCAGUUUCGUAGAGGUGGUCUCUUUUAAAGUGCCGUUUUGUCACAGUGAGAGUUCACCAGCUUAUAAAAUUAAAAUAAAAAACAGAAGAUAGUGCUUUCUGUAUAGCUAAAAAAAAUAAUAAAAGGAGGUAUACUCACGAACGGAGAGCACAGUAAAGUUCUGCUCAAUCCUUUAUAGCUUAGGGGGUAUCUUCCCCACCUAGGAAACCAAAGUAUGAAUCCUCCAGGUAAAAAUCUUCAGAGAUAAAAACUGGUAGUCCAAGUUCAAUAAAAACUAGUUUUAUUUAUAACCAAAUAAAAAAAUAAAAGUAGUAUAAAACACCAAUAAAACGGUAACGCGUUUCACCUUCACAGAGGCUUUUUCAAAGUGUAUAUUUUAACGUAAUUUAUGAUUGACCGAAUGUGUCUUUGAUAAAUACUGCAUUCGCUUGCCGUUGCAUUAUCUUUUGGCUUGGCACACUGUGAUAUAAAGCCGCUACAUAAAAGUUUGCAUAUAAUUGAAAGUAAAUAUCAUUAACCAAUACUACAUUCUCCUGUCAAAUGAAAACACUUGGCUUGGCACGAUGUGAUUUAAAGCCCCU